rnacentral:rRNA from 1 species
GCCAACCCUAGCCCCAAAUUACCCCAAUCCUGCUAUCAAAUAACGUCAACCAAACCAUUUACCCAUACAAAGUAUAGGCGAUAGAAAUUACCAACCUGGCGCAAUAGAUAUAGUACCGCAAGGGAAAGAUGAAAAAACACAACCAAGCACAAAACAGCAAAGACAAACCCCUAUACCUUCUGCAUAAUGAAUCAACUAGACACAACUUAGCAAGGAGACCCAAAGCUAAAAACCCCGAAACCAGACGAGCUACCUAAGAACCGCUGAAAGAGCACACCCGUCUAUGUGGCAAAAUAGUGGGAAGAUUCAUAGGUAGAGGUGACAAGCCUACCGAGCCUGGCGAUAGCUGGUUGUCCAAGAUAGAAUCUUAGUUCAACUUUAAAUUUACCCAUAGAACCCCUAAAUCCCCUUGUAAAUUUAACUGUUAGUCUAAAGAGGAACAGCUCUUCAGACACUAGGAAAAAACCUUAUGAAGAGAGUAAAAAGUGUAAAUCCCAUAGUUGGCCUAAAAGCAGCCACCAAUUAAGAAAGCGUUCAAGCUCAACACCACCCACCCAAUAAAUCCCAAACAUAUAACUGAACUCCUUCCACCACAUUGGACUAAUCUAUCAUUCUAUAGAAGAAAUAAUGUUAAUAUAAGUAACAUGAAAAACAUUCUCCUCCGCAUAAGCCUGUGUCAGACCAAAAAGACUUCACUGACAGUUAACAGCCCAACAUCUAAAACCAGCUGAUAAACCAUUGUUACCCAUACUGUCAACCCAACAUAGGCGUGCCUACAAGGAAAGGUUAAAAAAAGUAAAAGGAACUCGGCAAACACUACCCCGCCUGUUUACCAAAAACAUCACCUCUAGCAUUACCAGUAUUAGAGGCACCGCCUGCCCAGUGACACAUGUUCAACGGCCGCGGUACCCUAAC